ensembl:lncRNA
UGUAAAUGUUUGCAAGGCCUCAUCACGGAGAGAGCAGAUGUGUUUCCUCAUGCUAAAUGUGUAAUAUACAGUUGAGAUUGUGAGAAGAGGGAUUUGAAACGACUGUGAAACAGCUAACUUGAAUGUGAAAAACACUGGAUUUGACCACUUAAAAAUGUUUGCAGAAGCUUUAGCAAUCUAAACUAAACUUGUAGCCAGUUGAACAAUAUAGACUAGCUCAAAAAGUUCCUAAAAAUGUUUGCCCAUUCCAAAAAACCUGUCAAACUGGUUUAGUAUCUAAUCUAAACUCAUUUUUGUCGAGCCUAGUUGUUUUAGCAAAGCAAGAGACUUUACUAUACUUACAGAGUUUCUAAAUAAACGGACCGAUGCACAAUGAAAUUAACAAAGACGAAACUGAACUUGCUCUUCACAUUGAUUCUGGCAUUUUACCUCACAUCAGUAGAAGCUGAAGCUUCUCAUGAUGAUGAUGAUGACGAGGUGAGGAUCCUGAUGGUGGGAAUCCGAGGUCAGUCCAGAUUCAGUGCUGCAGAUCUUCUGUCAGGAAGGAAAGACGGUGGACAGGAGGACAGAGAGAUUGUAAAGACUCCAGUAAUUACAGACGAGGCUCGUAGAAUGAUGCUGAUCACUGGACCGAACCUCUGUGAGGAGGACACAGAGAGACAGACCUUCACAACAGCGCUGUUUCUCUCGUCUCCUGGACCUCACGCCGUUCUAAUGCUCCUGAAUCUGGAAGAUCAACAAUCACAACAGUGUGAUAUUGUGAAACGAGCUCAGGAGCUGCUGGGAGCAGAAGUCCUGCAGUACUGCAUUGUUCUUCUGCUGCAAAAUCACCAGGAACCUUUCACAGGAGCCUCCAGAGAAAUGAUCGACGCAUGUGGAGGAAGAUUUCUCAUCAUAAGAGACUCUGAACCUAAACCUGCUCAAAGAGCAGCUCUCGUAGCAGAAAUACACAAGUUAGUUUGGCUCAACGAUCACAGAUUUUACUCAGUAGUGACUCAAGGGUUGGAUGCAGAAAAGCUGG